rnacentral:rRNA from 1 species
CAAGUCGUACGAAAGUUUUUAACUUUAGUGGCGGACGGGUGAGUAACACGUGAGAAUUUGCCUUUUGGAGGGGGAUAACAAUUGGAAACGAAUGCUAAUACCCCAUAUGCUUACUUAGUGAAAUGGAUUUUUAUCCGCCAGAAGGGAAGCUCGCGGCUGAUUAGCUUGUUGGUAAGGUAAGAGCUUACCAAGGCGACGAUCAGUAUCUGGUUUGAGAGGACGAUCAGACACACUGGAACUGAGACACGGUCCAGACUCCUACGGGAGGCAGCAGUGGGGAAUUUUCCGCAAUGGGCGAAAGCCUGACGGAGCAACGCCGCGUGAGGGAUGAAGGCCUCUGGGCUGUAAACCUCUUUUAUCAAGGAAGAAGAUCUGACGGUACUUGAUGAAUAAGCCACGGCUAAUUCCGUGCCAGCAGCCGCGGUAAUACGGGAGUGGCAAGCGUUAUCCGGAAUUAUUGGGCGUAAAGCGUCCGCAGGCGGCCCUUCAAGUCUGCUGUUAAAAAGUGGAGCUUAACUCCAUCAUGGCAGUGGAAACUGUUGGGCUUGAGUGUGGUAGGGGCAGAGGGAAUUCCCGGUGUAGCGGUGAAAUGCGUAGAUAUCGGGAAGAACACCAGUGGCGAAGGCGCUCUGCUGGGCCAUCACUGACGCUCAUGGACGAAAGCCAGGGGAGCGAAAGGGAUUAGAUACCCCUGUAGUCCUGGCCGUAAACGAUGAACACUAGGUGUCGGGGGAAUCGACCCCCUCGGUGUCGUAGCCAACGCGUUAAGUGUUCCGCCUGGGGAGUACGCACGCAAGUGUGAAACUCAAAGGAAUUGACGGGGGCCCGCACAAGCGGUGGAGUAUGUGUUUAAUUCGAUGCAACGCGAAGAACCUUACCAGGUUUGACAUCCUGCGAAUCUCUUGGAAACAGGAGAGUGCCUUCGGGAACGCAGUGACAGGUGGUGCAUGGCUGUCGUCAGCUCGUGUCGUGAGAUGUUGGUUAAGUCCCGCAACGAGCGCAAUCCACGUCUUUAGUGCAGCAUUAGUGGCACUCUAGAGAGACUGCUGGUGAUAAUCGAGAGGUGUGGAUGACGUCAGUCAUCAUGCCUACUCUGGCUACCACGUACUACAUGCUACGACAGGCUGCAGUCGCGGAGACAAGCAAUCCAUAACUGGUCAGUCAAUCGUAAGCUGCACUCCCUACGUGAGGGGAUCCUAGAUUCCAGGGCCACAAAUCGGGGGUAUAUAUUUUCUCCGCGGCCUGUGCUUAAG